rnacentral:rRNA from 1 species
UAUCUACCGUGGGCGCUGGAAAUUUGAGAGGAUCUGCUCCUAGUACGAGAGGACCAGAGUGGACGAACCUCUGGUGUACCGGUUGUGACGCCAGUCGCAUCGCCGGGUAGCUAUGUUCGGAAGGGAUAACCGCUGAAAGCAUCUAAGCGGGAAGCCUACCUCAAGAUAAGAUUUCCCUAGGACUUUAUGUCCUCUAAAGAGCCGUUCGAGACUAGGACGUUGAUAGGUUGGAUGUGGAAGCAUAGUGAUAUGUGAAGCUGACCAAUACUAAUUGCUCGUGAGGCUUGACUAUACAACACCCAAGCAGUUG